CCUUUUUGCCCUAGCCGAUAGGUCUCUAGACGUUACAAAGAACCUCGAACAACCCAAACUGCUAAUCUUCGAUACCGCUUUAUACUCACGAUCUUGUAUCCACUGACUGUCUCGUUAGAUUAACCCAAUAAAUUUCAUUCACUCCGCAUACUCAAUCCUAUAGACACCCUUUUAAUUCUUCAAUCACAGAUGUAACUUCGAUUUCACAAAACAGUCAAGAGUAAUCACAUCCACUUCAUUAAAAAUCCCGAUUCACCAUUACAACACUGACUUCAGUAAUGAUUGCCUCA
rnacentral:lncRNA from 1 species